CAUCCUUCCCAGGUCGUCAAGUAAUUCUCCUCGGUAGAUGAUCUGCUGAGGCCGGCGAUUAUUCAGCCCUUCGGGAGGUGAGUGCAGAGCUGUUUUUCUCACCAUCUUUAGCCUUCUGGGUAUUCCUCAUGCUUCCCCCUCUCUCAGGAGAAUCUCUUGCCUCCUCCUCAUCUUCUUCUUCCUGAUUUAUCACUGCCUCUGCCCCAUCUGACAUUAGGAAAGUGUUUCAUCGUGCUCGAGUAGAAGAUUUCAUGGGAAACAGACUACCAUCUUUGGAACAGGAUCCGAUAUGAAUAAUUCUUUGAAACAUUUUUCUCUGCAUGUCUGUAUCUUAGUCAACUUUCAGUUUCCCCUGCUUGAGGAGAGUGGGGCAUGUAGACAAUCCAAAUGUCAUCUAUAUUUGGCUUUAGAGUGUGUUUUCUACUUAGCUUUGAGUUCUGGAUAGAUCUGCGAUUCUGGGAACUGACUUUAAACAAAAUCACGAAGCUUUGCAGUGAAGACACAUCUGACUCACAAUGUCCUUUGCUGCAUCUGCAUUUGAGCUGCCCAAGAGCCCAACUAAAUUAAUCCCUCCAGAAGUAAAGGAGAUGAAAUCAACCAAUCUGAGGAAAGCCUGACCAAGGCAUUCAUGUAUCAAAAAGAUAUGGAAUACCUACCCACUGCAUACAUGAUACUAGAAAUCCUACAGCUUCCCUGCACAGUGGCUGUGGUUUUCAUUUAUAUGAAACUGAGGCCAGAGAGGUAAAGAACUUGGCCUGAAGUCACAUGGGGCACUGGGUAUUAUUUGAAGCAGUUUUUUUCAAAAAAGUCACGGAGAAACAUUACUCAGAGCCUCUCCCUCACACCCUGCAGAUAGAGCUCUGAAUCUCGGCAUCUGUGAGUUGUUUCUUUUGGGCUUUUUAAAAAGUCUUCCAGAAUUGUGGAAUGGGAUAGUUUCAGUUAAAAUAUCUGUUUUUGAAAAUCAUGACCAAUAAUAAAAAUCAAGAAUGUCCUAUUACAUAUUUCAUACCUUUAAGAAUUUUGUUUUGCUCUAAUUGGUCUUAUUGGAUUAAAUGAUUUCUAAAGUCUUCUCUGGGACUUCACUUUUGUGUUUCAAGUUUCUUAUCCAUCUGAAAGCCAUAUAUUUGGGUUAAACCAAAUUAUUAGCAAUAGGUAUCUUUGUAGAAUUUCUAGUAGUUUGGAAGGAGUUGAAUGUACUAGAAUCAUAGCACGUAUUUCAGCUGCUUUAUUAGCAGUCUAGC
rnacentral:lncRNA from 10 species